CCUACGGGUGGCAGCAGUGAGGAAUAUUGGUCAAUGGGCGGGAGUCUGAACCAGCCAAGUAGCGUGAAGGAUGACUGCCCUAUGGGUUGUAAACUUCUUUUAUACGGGAAUAACACGCGUCACGUGUGCCGUUUUGCAUGUACUUUAUGAAUAAGGAGCGGCUAAUUCCGUGCCAGCAGCCGCGGUAAUACGGAGGAUCCGUGCGUUAUCCGGAUUUAUUGGGGUUAAAGGGAGCGUAGAUGGGAUGUUAAGUGUGUUGUGAAAGGUUGCGGCUCAACCGGAAAAUUGCAGUGGAUACUGGCAGUCUUGAGGCCAGUGGAGGUAGGCGGAAUUCGUGGUGUAGCGGUGAAAUGCUUAGAUAUCACGAAGAACCCCGAUUGCGAAGGCAGCUUACUAAACUGGGACUGACACUGAUGCUCGAAAGUGUGGGUAUCGAACAGGAUUAGAUACCCGGGUAGUC
rnacentral:rRNA from 1 species